AUUGAACGCUGGCGGCAGGCCUAACACAUGCAAGUCGAGCGGAUGAAGGGAGCUUGCUCCUGGAUUCAGCGGCGGACGGGUGAGUAAUGCCUAGGAAUCUGCCUGGUAGUGGGGGAUAACGUCCGUACACGGGCGCUAAUACCGCAUCCGUCCUGAGGUAGAACGUGGGGGAUCUUCGGACCUCACGCUAUCAGCUGAGCCUAGGUCGGAUUAGCUAGUUGGUGGGGUAAAGGCCUACCAAGGCGACGAUCCGUAACUGGUCUGAGAGGAUGAUCAGUCACACUGGAACUGAGACACGGUCCAGACUCCUACGGGAGGCAGCAGUGGGGAAUAUUGGACAAUGGGCGAAAGCCUGAUCCAGCCAUGCCGCGUGUGUGAAGAAGGUCUUCGGAUUGUAAAGCACUUUAAGUUGGGAGGAAGGGCAGUAAGUGAAUACCUGGCUGUUUUGACGUUACCAACAGAAUAAGCACCGGCUAACUUCGUG
rnacentral:rRNA from 1 species